GACGAACGCUGGCGGCGUGCCUAAUACAAGCAAGUCGAACGAGAGCGACCGGUGCUUGCACUGGUCAAUCUAGUGGCGAACGGGUGAGUAACACGUGGGUAACCUGCCCAUCAGAGGGGGAUAACAUUCGGAAACGGAUGCUAAAACCGCAUAGGUUCUUUAGUCGCAUGACUGAAGAAGGAAAAGAGGCUUCGGCUUCUGCUGAUGGAUGGACCCGCGGUGCAUUAGCUAGUUGGUGAGGUAACGGCUCACCAAGGCCGUGAUGCAUAGCCGACCUGAGAGGGUGAUCGGCCACAUUGGGACUGAGACACGGCCCAAACUCCUACGGGAGGCAGCAGUAGGGAAUCUUCCGCAAUGGACGCAAGUCUGACGGAGCAACGCCGCGUGAGUGAAGAAGGAUUUCGGUUCGUAAAACUCUGUUGUUAGAGAAGAAACAGCGCAUAGAGUAAACUGUUAUGCGUGGGACGGAU
rnacentral:rRNA from 1 species